UUUCCGGUUGAUCCUGCCAGAGGCUACUGCUAUCGGGGUUCGAUUAAGCCAUGCGAGUUAAAUGUUCUUUGUGAACAUAGCGAACUGCUCAGUAACACGUGGAUAACCUACCCUUAGGACCGGAAUAACCCCGGGAAACUGGGGAUAAUACCGGAUAAGCCAUAGACGCUGGAAUGCCCUAUGGUUCAAAGCUCCGGCGCCUAAGGAUGGAUCUGCGGUCUAUCAGGUUGUAGUGGGUGUAACGUACCUACUAGCCGACGACGGAUACGGGUUGUGAGAGCAAGGGCCCGGAGAUGGAUUCUGAGACACGAAUCCAGGCCCUACGGGGUGCAGCAGGCGCGAAACCUUUACAAUGUGCGAAAGCAUGAUAAGGGAACUCCGAGUGCCAGUAUCUAAUACUGGCUGUCCUUGUGCCUAAAACGCACAAGAUAGCAAGGGCCGGGUAAGACCGGUGCCAGCCGCCGCGGUAACACCGGCGGCCCGAGUGGUAGCCGCUAUUAUUGGGUCUAAAGGGUCCGUAGCCGGUUCGAUAAGUCCUCUGGGAAAUCUGGUUGCUUAACAAUCAGACUGCCAAGGGAUACUGUCGGACUUGAGACCGGGAGAGGUAAGAGGUACUUCAGGGGUAGGAGUGAAAUCUUGUAAUCCCUGGGGGACCAUCUGUGGCGAAGGCGUCUUACCAGAACGGGUCUGACGGUGAGGGACGAAAGCUGGGGGCGCAAACCGGAUUAGAUACCCGGGUAGUCCCAGCCGUAAACGAUGCUCGCUAUGUGUCAGGUACGGUGUGACCGUAUCUGGUGCCGUAGGGAAGCCUCUACUAGCCACCUGGGAAGUACGGUCGCAAGACUGAAACUUAAAGGAAUGGCGGGGGAGCACUACAAACGGAUUUUCC
rnacentral:rRNA from 1 species